CUUUGUUAUUAUUAUAUAUAUAAUAUACAAUAUAAAAUAAAAAGCAAAAAGCAAACCAUGGGACAACUAUGAAAUGUAUUUAUGUGAAUUCUGCUUGAACAAACAGACUGGAAGAGAUGCUGUAAAUCACAUUGUUAAAGGUAAAGUAGUGGUAAGGUCAGAUAUAGCCACUUAUACUGCAGACAAAAGCACAUUAAGAAUUAUAUCUAUUAUAUGACCAAACAAGCAAGUUCAGUAAAACGUGGUCUUAUUCUCACCACACUUUAUCAAGCUACCAAAACUUCAGAUGUAACUCAGUUUAUUACAUGUUGCUAACCUCUCAACUUCAUGUUGGUCCUCUUGUUCUGUGAAUGUGAAGAUUCUUUAUAUAGAAACAUAGAAUGUGACGGCAGAUAAGAACCAUUCGGCCCAUCUAGUCUGCAGCAAAUAGCAUUAGCAGUUUGUUUCUGAAUUUGAAAUGAGUUGAGUAGGAUACUAGUAAUAAACAUUCUCCAAGUUUAAGGAGAUCAAUAAUAUUUGGGAUGGUUGAAACCACCAGUGUCAUUUGAGGACAACAUGUACCAGGAGUGGGGUUUGAACCCACACAGAUCUUAAGUCCAACACCUUAACCACUCGGCCAUCCUGGAGUUAUGCUAUAGUCCAACGCCUUAACCACUCGGCCAUCCUGGUGUUAAAAGGUAGAUUCUCAGACAUUGUAGAACUACAACUCCCUAAUGCUUUACAUGCCGUUAGAAUAUAUAGAAACAUAGAAUGUCUACCCAAUGUUCAAAAUACUUUAAUUAAUCCCUGGCCUUAUCUUAUAGCUAGAAUAACCUUAUGCCUAUUACAUGCAUGCUUAAACUCCUACACGGUGUUAAUCUUUACCACUUCAGCUGGAAGACCAUUCCAUGCAUCCACUACCCUCUCAGUAAAGUAAUAUUUCCUGAUAUUAUUUUUAAACCUUUCCCCCUCUAAUUUAAGACUAUGUCCUCUUGUUGUGGUAGUUUUUCUUCUUUUAAAUAUAGUCUCAUCCUUUACUGUGUUGAUUCCCUUUAUGUAUUUAAAUGUUUCUAUCAUAUCCCCCCUGUCUCGUCUUUCCUCCAAGCUAUAAAUGUCAAGAUACUUUAACCUUUCCUUGUAAGUUUUAUCCUGUAAUCUAUGAACCUAUUCUUUAACAUGGUUUCCAUUACUUUCCCCACUACUGAAGCCAACGUCUCCCUACUAUCUUUCUUGUUAAUGGACACAAUAUUUGCUAACGUCCAAUCUUCUAGGACUACUCCUGUUAACAAUGAGUGAUUAAAUAAGUCUGUUAAUGGCUUUGCUAGUACACCACUAAGCUCUUUUAAUAACUUUGGGUGUAUUCCAUCAGGCCCCAUUGACUUAUUUGUCUUUACUUUUGACAGUUGAAAUAGAACCUCUUCCUCUGUAAACUCACAAAUGACUAUUUUGUCCUUUUUUCUAACAGAGGCCUCUUUCCUUCAUUUUCAUCUGUAAACACUGAACAAAAAUAUUCAUUGAGGCAGUCAGCUAGACCUUUUCUACAUACCUUCCUUCUUUUGUUUUUAAUCCAAC